CAGGACAAGUGUACUGUGGAAACUAUGAUCCAGGUCAGCAGCCAGUCAUUUCAUAGAAGGUAAACUUCAAGAACAUUCUCUGAAGGGCAGUGAAACUGAGUAAGAUCUAACCACUGUUACCAGCAACCAAGAAAAAUAGACAAUGAAGUUAUUCAUCAUGCAUGACCCAGUAACAUUUCUCAGCGGUUGGAUUCAAUACGAGAAAUAAGCAAAUAAUCGCACUGCUUCUUCCAUUUCAAAGUCAUGUCUCUUAUAAAAAGUGGUCAAGAAAAAUGCCUGUUGGCUUACAUACUGGUUAGUGCCAAAAAUUUGGCUUACAAUAUUUCAAGUGGAUUAUCCUUUUACAUCCAUGUUGUUAGUUUCACACAGAACACAUACAAAUGCAAUUUUUUUUACCGUAAGUUUUUGCAAAUUAUAAUCAUAAACUAAAAAAUAGGAUUAAGCAUAUUAUUUUUUGGGAUAGGGUCUAGUUCUGUUGCCCAGGCUGGAGUGCAGUGGCACGAUCAUGGCUCACUGCAGCCUCAACCUCCCCCGGCCCAGGUGAUUCUCCCAUCCCAGCCUCCCGAGCAGCUGGGACC